AUCAGGCCACAACAAUGGUGACUGCCAAUGUCCCAGUCCCUGUAGAGGUCUCACCCCUCACCGAGAUGCACUCAGGGCCUAUCAGCUUCCACCUUUCUCCACUUUUCUCAGCUUUUUAAAUUGUGUAUCCAGGGCCUGGAGAAGGGCUGGAGUCAGAUCAUGGACUGCUUCAGGGUUCACAGCGGGGACCAAGGUUGGCAGGCCUGUUACCCAA